rnacentral:rRNA from 1 species
AGGAUUAACGCUGGCGGCGUGCAUGAAACAUGCAAGUCGAGCGCGGUGUGAUGCGGGGUAACCCAAUUCACAUCUAGCGGCGAACGGGUGAGUAACACGUGAGCAACCUACCUUUGAGUUGGGGAUAGCCCUGGGAAACCAGGAUUAAUACCCGAUGUGGUCACAACAGGACAUCCUGAUGUGAGUAAAGGCGUAAGCCGCUCAAUGACGGGCUCGCGGCCUAUUAGCUUGUUGGUGGGGUAAUGGCCCACCAAGGCGACGACGGGUAGCCGGCCUGAGAGGGUGACCGGGCCACACUGGGACUGAGACACGGCCCAGACUCCUACGGGAGGCAGCAGUGGGGAAUAUUGCACAAUGGGCGCAAGCCUGAUGCAGCAACGCCGCGUGAGGGACGACGGCCUUCGGGUUGUAAACCUCUUUUAGUAGGGAAGAAGCGAAAGUGACGGUACCUGCAGAAAAGCACCGGACUAACUACGUGCCAGCAGCCGC